rnacentral:lncRNA from 1 species
CCUGAAUGUACCACAGUUUUUUUAUUCAGCCAGUUAAUGAAGGACAUCUUGGUUUCUUCCAUAUUUUGGCAAAUCUCACACAUCCUCCCCAUUCUCUGAGUUCCCACAAAGACUGUUAUUGCUGGGGCUCAUAAAAUUAUACUCCAAAGUAUGAUGCUUUGGCAUCCAGAGUGCUUUGAACUAUAGGAGAUUGAAGGCCCCAGAAGCCAAGUUUCCCUCUGACCUCCUGCCUCCCUGUCUCCCACCCCCUACUUUUCCCCUGAAGUGAGUCCUGGAAACCAGAAUUCUUCUUGCCCAAAGCAAGCCGUGACACCCUGGAAAUAUCACUCUAACCUUCCUUGCCUUUCCGUGUGGCAGCUGGCCAUGAAGAAAUUCUCUGACCUACCUUGUUUGAUAGCAGAUCACAAGACCCUGGUUCCAGAGCGGUCCUGCUUUACACCGAAGGAAAGGAAUGUCAUACAGAAAGGCCAAGAAGAAUCUGAAGAGAUGUCCAAUCACCUUUUCACGUGGCUGCCCAUUCUUCAUUGAACCUAAGCAUUAAAAUAGACAGUUUCCCCUGGGUCUUUGGGUCUUCAUUUCUGAAGACUCCAUGUCAUGUAAAACUUUGAUUAAAUAAAUGUAUCAUGCAUUACUUUUGCUAACCUGUCUUUUGUUAUAGGAGUGUCGCC